UACGGAGGGUGCAAGCGUUAUCCGGAAUCACUGGGUUUAAAGGGUGCGUAGGCGGUCAUACAAGUCAGAAGUGAAAUACCACUGCUUAACAGUAGGAAGUGCUUUUGAUACUGUAUGACUUGAACUAGGAUGAGGUAGGCGGAAUGUGGCAUGUAGCGGUGAAAUGCAUAGAUAUGCCAUAGAACACCGAUUGCGAAGGCAGCUUACUAGACCUUAGUUGACGCUGAGGCACGAAAGCGUGGGGAGCGAACAGG
rnacentral:rRNA from 1 species